AAGCUAACAGCUGACUGCUUCGCUCAGAACGCUUGAGAACAGCUGACGGUUGUUUCGCUGCGAACGCUUGAGAGCUAACAGCUGACGGUCGUUUCCGUAAAGAGGUAGAAAGAAAUUGACGAAUCUGGAAAUUGGUAAGGAAAACAAUAUUAAUAUAAAUUCACUAAAUAUAUAAUUCAAAAUACUACAUUCGGUUUUAUUAGAUCUCGGAGGGUUUCCCCCGUGAACAGCUAAAGCCCGAAAAAUAGCCGUUGACAGCUCGGAGCAUCGGUGAGGUUUUUUUUGGAGUUUGUACAGUACACUUUUGGCUUGGAGGGCCAAAGAUUCCAAGACCCUCUUCUCCUGAAACUGGAUGGCGAGCCCCAGCCCAGAGGACCAGGCGCAUGGGUAGAUAGUGACCCGACUGGUCACCAGCUGAGAGACUUUGAGACUGAAGAAUUAAUUCAUUGGAGACUGAAGUAUUCAAUUUAUUUAUUUAUUUAUUUUUUUUAAAAGCGCGCAGUAUUUGUUUGUCUGUUUUAAAUGUGGAUCCACAAUUGUUUAUUAUAUUAAAUAUUUGCUCUUUUCUUGUA